UUGAAAUAUUUCAAUAAUAUUAGAUUGGAAAUAGAUUUUGUUUUUGGGUUAUAUCGCAAAAAAUCGCUUGCCUUCCGGUAAACCCUAGCCUCUGCUCCAUUUAUUCAUGUUUUUCUUUCUUUAACUUUUAUUUUUUUUAUUUUUAAUUUUUCAUCUGUUUUUAGAAAUUCGUGAUACUUUGACCGUUCAUGUAGACACUAUAAGAUCAUUUAGCGGUUGCUGUGGCUUUUGUUUAGUUUCUGGAACGUUAACUCACUGCCGCCGCCUCCUCCACCAUCUGCACCACUUCUACCACCAGUACCACCUCCUUCCACGUCACACAUGGGUUACUUUGCCGAAUGUUACUUGAACUCGGGUGUGACUGUUGGAUAUGGGUAUGUAUUUGACGUGGUUAUGGUUAGAUUUUUCCAAGUUAUGGUUUGCAGUCAUGUUACUUGUUUUCAGUAUUGGAUGAAAAAGCAGCACUAUCAGAUGGGAGCUGGUGUUUGUGCUUGAAUCCACACAUAGGGACAAGGUUCGUCAUUGUUGGUUUGUGUUUGAUUCUUUGACAUUAGGUCAAGAGUCCGCUCUUCUUGAGUCUUAAGGGAAAGGGUUUUGAUCGAAUCUGAUUUGGGGUUUGAAGACCUUGUUGCUUGGGGUACCAACUAUGUGUUUUGCAUUUGACAUGUGACGAGAAAGGAUUAUAUGAAAUUGAGAUACCAUGAAAUUUGUAUUCUUUUCCAAUAAUUUAAUGCCAUUUCAGUAUUUUCAUCUUAAAAAAAAUUAAAUCCAAAAUGAUGUCAAUUUUUUGAAUGAAAAUGCUAAAAUGAUAUUAAAUUAUUGGAAAGGGAUACAAGUGACAUGGUAUCUAAGUUUCAUAUAAUCCAUUCUCGUGUGGUGGCACGUGCACUAUAUUAUAUUUGAAAUGCCAUGUUUACUUGUAUGGUGGUGUAUAUGACAAACAUUGAAUCAACGUCUUUCACUUUCUCAUGACAUUUUUGGAACCCCAAGACGUUUGAUUGUUUGGAGUAUUUGUCUACCUUUUCGCCAAUGACAGAUCACAUUAUAGUACUUGCAUAGAUUAUUCACCAACGGUCUAAAUGAUAUAGAUGGUGACAUGGUGUGGUUGGUUUUAGUUGAUUUUGAAGAGAUUGAAAACAGCGGUGAUGAUGGGAUGACAGUGGUUUCUUUGUUUAAUAAAAUGUUGUGUGGUGGUAGCUAUCACUUAUGAGGAAAGAUCGAGAACUUAAAGAAGCAAAUGAUGUGGUGGAUGAUGACAAGUAUCUUACAAGCUAACUGUAAUCAUUUCAGAAACCUUUGAUUUUCUACAAAUUUUUUCUUCAUUUGGUUUUUGAGAUUGGAAAUUCAAUGGAAGCCUUGUUCAUUUCAUGUUUUCUCCUAAACGAAAAUGAGAAUGCAAGUCAUGUUUUCUCUUGUUCUUUCA